UACGUAGGGUGCAAGCGUUAAUCGGAAUUACUGGGCGUAAAGCGUGCGCAGGCGGCCAUGCAAGACAGAUGUGAAAUCCCCGGGCUCAACCUGGGAACUGCAUUUGUGACUGCAUGGCUAGAGUACGGCAGAGGGGGAUGGAAUUCCGCGUGUAGCGGUGAAAUGCGUAGAUAUCGAGAGGAACACCUGCGGCGAAGGCGGGUUGCUGGGCUGACACUGACGCUGAGGCGCGAAAGCUAGGGGAGCGAACGGG
rnacentral:rRNA from 1 species